GGAUGCGUAGCUCAGCUGGUUAGAGCACCGGCCUUUUAAGCCGGGUGUCGGGGGUUCGAGUCCCCUCGCGUCCA
rnacentral:tRNA from 1 species